CGAUUUAUUUGUAGAAUGGAACGUUAGCUACUCAUGAAUCUGCUUGUAUCCAAUAGCCAGUUAGCUGGCUAUCGUGACUCUAUGAUAAAAGCUAACGUUAACGUUUAGCGUGAUGACUAGCUUGUUAACGCGGCACUUUUCCAAAAUGACGCCUGGGAUGUAUUCUUUAUUUUAAUCGAUGAGAUCCAGGUUCCUUUGAGUACCGCUGUCACCAUGUUUCAAUAUGCUUUGUGUUGUAGUCACGACAGACAAAUAUAUAUAGUUAAGCAAACUUUACUAUGCAUGUUGUCAACCAGCACAUUCAGUACAUUAAUAAGUGACAUCAUGGACCCCACUCCUGAGCCCAAGACCAGAGCGGAGGUUUGAAAGUGUAAGUAAAACACAUUAUAAUCCCGGAACUACCUGAUAAAUCUGUCACGGGGGAUUCUUGCCAGUGGACCUUGGAACCCAACACAGUCAAUGAGCACCUGUAUCUGUCUGAGGGGAACCGGAUGGUUACUGGAAUUGUGUAGACUUUCUUAGUGUCCAACAAGCUUUCUCUGCCCUUAGCCUUGUUCUGAACACCUCCAAAACAAAAGUCAUGUGGUUUGGUAAGAAGAAUGCCCCUCUCCCCACAGAGGUGAUUACUACCGCUGAGGAUUUAGAGCUUGAGGUAGUCACCUCAUACAAGCACUUGGGAGUAUGACUAGACGGUACACUGUCCUUCUCUCAGCACAUAUCAAAGCUGCAGGCUAAAGUUAGAGGAAACCAAGUCUAGAUUUAUCGUAAUCGUUCCUCUUUCACUCCAGCUGCCAAACUAAACCCUGAUUCAGAUGACCAUCCUACCCAUGCUAGAUUACGGAGAUGUAAUUUAUAGAUCGACAGGUAAGGGUGCUCUCAAGCGGCUAGAUGUUGUUUGCCAUUCGGAUUUGCCACCAAUGCUCCUUAUAGGACACAUCACUGCACUUUGUACUCCUCUAUAAACUGGUCAUGUCUGUAUACCC
rnacentral:lncRNA from 1 species